rnacentral:rRNA from 1 species
GACGAACGCUGGCGGCGUGCUUAACACAUGCAAGUCGAACGGUGAAGCACCUUCCUUUUGGUGGGUGUGGAUGAGUGGCGAGCGGGUGAGUAACACGUGAGUAACCUGCCCCCUUCUUCUGGAUAACCGCAUGAAAGUGUGUCUAACACGGGAUAUUCUGUGCCUGCUGCAUGGUGGGUGUGGGAAAGGUGCGCUUUUGGGUGUUUGUGGUGGGGGAUGGGCUCGCGGCCUAUCAGCUUGUUGGUGGGGUGAUGGCCUACCAUGACGGUGACGGGUAGCCGGACUGAGAGGGGGGACAGUCACACUGAGACUGGGACACGGCCCAGACUCGUACGAGCAGUAGCAGAGGGGAAUAUAGGGGAGUGAGCGCGAGCCAGAUGCAGCGACGCUGUGAGGAGGAUGGAGGGCUUGGGGUGGUAAACCUCUUUGGAAGGAGAAGCAGGCCUGUACCUUGUGGGUGGGUGGACGGUAGCUAGAUAAGAAGCGCGGGUUAAUUACGU